ACUAUUGAUCAGCACAGGAGGUUGAGGCUGGAGGAUCGCUUGAGUCUAGGAGUUCUGGGAUGUAGAGGGCUAUGCUAAUCAGGUGUCCAUACUAAGUUUGGCAUCAAUAUGGUGACCUCCUGGGAGCGGGGGACCACCAGGUUACCUAAUGAGGGGUGAACUGGCCCAGGUCAGAAAUGGGGCAGGUCAAAUCCCACUCCGUCCAGGUUGGAGUGCAAUCACUGCAGCCUCUGCCUCCCAGGUUAACGAGAUUCUCCUGCCUCA
rnacentral:SRP_RNA from 1 species